GGGGAUAUAGCUCAGUGGCACAAGCGCUUGCCUGACAAGCAUAGGUCCUGGGUUCAAUUCCCAGUACCCA
rnacentral:tRNA from 1 species